GUUAGAGAGAGGUAGUUCCCAUUCCCAGUAGAGAGAGAGAAGGAAAUGGUUUUAGCUAGCUUUUAGCUAUCUGGCGAUGACUUUAUGAUUCUUUUGAUCGAAGCUUGGUGGAAAGCCAUGGAUCCUUGAGAUAUAUGGAUUUCGAUGAAGGAUGCAUGGAUCUAGAUAUAUGUUGUAGUAAUAAGAUGAUUCAUGGGAACUAUUUUCACGAUAACAAAACCUGUUAUUCGAUCAGUGUUCAUCUGCAGGUUAGAGGGCUGGAUCUCUCUUGGUGAUGUCAAGUAAAAGAUUAUGUGCCUAACAAGAAUCAGACGCGCCUGCUUCAAACGAAUCUGUGUGCACUGGAGAUGUGCAGUGCAGUGUGCAGAAGCUUGAUAGUCGCAGGUCAACUUGGGCAGUAAUGAUCGUUGACCAUUACUAUAAUAAUAUCUCAAUGCUUUUUUCACACCGAGGGAGGAGCCAGCAACAUGCAAAUGCCGUCUCCUAUGUACGUUUAAACCUUGUGACAAAUUAUUAGCUUAAAAUUUUAUUGUCAAAAAUAGUGAAAUUAGAGAUCUCCAACAAUUUUGAAUAGGCAAUGAAUAAUUAUCGAACGGAUACGGUGAAAAUCUAUGUACUACCGGAAAUUACAAAUGGAAGAAAAUUUGUGUAUAAUAUCUCUGUUAACUUAUAACUA